AUCGAACGCUGGCGGCAGGCUUAACACAUGCAAGUCGAGCGAGCGGCGGACGGGUGAGUAAUGUCUGGGAAACUGCCUGAUGGAGGGGGAUAACUACUGGAAACGGUAGCUAAUUCCGCAUACUAUCAGAUGUGCCCAGAUGGGAUUAGCUAGUAGGUGGGGUAAUGGCUCACAUAGGCGACGAUCCCUAGCUGGUCUGAGAGGAUGACCGGCCAAACUGGAACUGAGACACGGUCCCGACUCCUACGUGGGGCGGCAGUGGGGAAUAUUGCACAAUGGGCGCAAGCCUGAUGCGGCCAUGCGGCGUGUGUGAAGAGGGCCUUCGGGUUGUAAAGCACUUUCAGCGAGGAGGCGUUACUCGCAGAAGAAGCACCGGCUAACUCCGUGCCAGCCGCCGCGGUAAUAC
rnacentral:rRNA from 1 species